rnacentral:lncRNA from 1 species
AAUUUGAGAGAAGUAGAGAGCAAUUGCAAGUGAGUUCUUUGAGAGAAUUUGAGAGAGCUUCCACUUGAGUGUUCUAGUGAGGUUCCAUUUGGGUGUAUUGGAGUUGUGGGUUUUGUGAGUUUUUCCCACUUUUGUAAAGUCCUAUUAUUAAUAAAAUUAUCUUCCAGUCUUUGCCCGUGGACGUAGGCAUUACGCUGAACCACGUAAAUCAUUGUGUUUUAUUUGCAUUUGUUUACCACCACAUUUAUAUUUCUCCAGAAGUUGUAGUAUUAGUAAUUGCUCAACCCACGUUUCCGCAACAAGUGGUAUCAAAGCCGACGGUUCGUACUUGGGGGGAUACGGUACUAUUCACGUAUAUGGUACUGUUCACGUAUACGGUACUAUUCCUAUAUACGGUACUGUUCACAAAUACGGUGGAGACGACCAUUUAUACUUAGGAGACAGUCUAUUGUAAGUAGUGUGUAUUUUUGUAUGUCUAGGAAAGUUCUGUCAACAAAGGCGAUAAGAGUCUAAGGAUUCUGGUUUUUAAUUGGGACUAAGUUUCCGUCCAGUCUCCUGGGAACUUUCCUGGUGCAUUUAUUCACGCGAAAUAAACAUCAUAGAGGCUGUUUUUUAAGUGUAAAUAGUUGUUGAAGAAACUGAUCAUUUGAGAUAAAAAGGAUGGCAGAGGCAUCGUCGUCGUCUUCAUCAGUGAGAACUACUGUGACUAAUGCAAAGUUUGAAGUGGAGAAAUUCGAUGGUACCAAUAAUUUUGGUGUGUGGCAAUGUGAGGUGUUGGAUGUCUUAUGUCAAUAAGAGUUGGACGUUGCUCUUGAAGAAAAGCCUGACGUGAUGGAUGACAAGGAGUGGAUAAAAAUCAAUAGACAGGCAUGUGGUACUAUUCGCCUAUGUCUGGCUAAAGAUCAUAAAUACUCUGUCAUGAGGGAGACAUCGGCAAAGAAAUUGUGGGAGACACUGGAAGAAAAGUAUAUGAAGAAAAGUCUUGAAAAUAGGCUUUAUAUGAAAAAGAAACUCUAUCGAUUUACAUAUACACAUGGCAUGUCAAUGAAUGACCACGUGAACUCAUUCAACAAGAUAUUAGCGGAUUUGCUAAAUCUGGAUGAGAGAUUUGAAGAUGAAGAUAAGGCACUGUUGUUGUUGAAUUCACUUCCUGAUGAAUAUGAUCAUCUCACCACUACUUUGCUUCAUGGGAAGGAUAGUGUCACGUUCGAUGCUGUAUGCAGUGCAUUGUACAACUCUGAGACCAGAAAGAAAGAUAGAAAGGAUCACAGAGAUACAGUUACAGAAGCACUGACAGCGAGAGGUCGUUCGCAAAGCCGCAAACCUGGAAAAAGGAACAAGUCUAAAGGGAGACCUGCCAAAGAUGAAUGUGCUUUUUGUCGCGAGAAAGGGCAUUGGAAAAAGAAUUGUCCUAAGUUACAAAAGGGCAAGGCUACUUCUGAUGCAUGUGUAGUAGAGCAUGAUGAGGAGUCAGACUUUAGUCUGGUUGGCAUGACAUUGAUAUGUCACUCAGAUGAGUGGAUUUUGGAUUCCGGUUGUACUUAUCAUAUGUGUCCUAACAAGGGCUGGUUUUCUAACUUCAAGGAGCUAGACGGUGGAGUUGUUUUUAUGGGCAAUAACAAUGCUUGUAAAACUAUGGGAAUAGGUACAAUCCAAUUAAAGAAUCAUGAUGGCUCAAUCCAAGUUUUGACAGAUGUUCACUAUGUACCAAGCUUGAAGAAAAAUCUCAUCUCAUUAGGAGUCUUAGAAUCUAAAGGGCUCACAAUCACUUUAAGAGAUGGAUUGUUGAAGGUAGUAGCUGGGGCGCUGACAGUGAUGAAAGGCACAAGAAGAAAUAACUUGUACUAUUUCCAAGGAAGUACAGUUAUUGGAUCAGCAUCAACAGUUUCUGGAAAAGAUGCAGAUUCAGAAGCAACCAAGUUGUGGCAUAUGCGUUUGGGACAUGCUGGUGAAAAAGCUUUGCAGACUUUAGCGAAGCAAUGCUUAUUGAAAGGUACAAAUUCUUGCAAAUUAGAAUUUUGUGAACAUUGUGUUCUGGGCAAGCAGACAAGGGUAAAGUUUGGUUCAGCAAUUCACGAUACAAAAGGAAUUCUGGACUAUGUUCACAGUGAUGUGUGGGGACCUACCAAAACAGCUUCCUUGGGAGGUAUGCACUAUUUUGUUACUUUUGUUGAUGAUUAUUCAAGAAAAGUGUGGGUGUAUUUGAUGAAGAACAAAAAUGAAGUUUUGGGCAUAUUUCUGAAAUGGAAGAAAAUGGAAGAGACUCAGACUGGUCGAAAGAUCAAAAGACUUCGUUCAGACAAUAGUGGUGAGUACAAGAAUGAUCCAUUUCUUCAAAUAUGUCAAGAUGAGGGUAUUGUGCGACAUUUCACUGUUCGAGAUACACCACAACAGAAUGGGGUAGCAGAACGCAUGAACCGGACUAUACUAGAGAAAGUUCGGUGUAUGUUGUCCAAUGCUGGAUUGGACAAAGAGUUUUGGGCUGAAGCAGUUGUAUAUGCGUGCCAUCUGAUCAACCGUUUGCCAUCAACUGCAAUUGAGAGCAGAACACCCAUGGAGAUGUGGACUGGUAAACCUGCUACUGAUUAUAAUUCUUUACAUGUUUUUGGUUCCACUGCUUAUUAUCAUGUAAAAGAAUCUAAGUUAGACCCAAGAGCAAAGAAAGCAUUGUUCAUGGGUAUAACUGGUGGAGUAAAAGGAUACCGUCUCUGGUGUCCUAUUACGAAGAAGAUUAUUUUCAGUAGAGAUGUAACUUUUGAUGAAUCAGCCAUGUUGAAACAAAAAGAUUCUCAAGAGGAUGACAAGACCAGUAGCAUUUUGCAGCAGGUGGAGUUUGAAAAAGUUAAAGCUGAUCCAGCUGGUGUCGAUGAGAUGGAUAGUGAUUCUCCAACGACCGAAAAUGAUGAAGAGGUUCUGACCUAGGAACCUUCACAGCAACAAGAUUCAAUUGCAUAUAGAAGGCCACGCAGAGAGAUUCGUAAACCUGCUCGCUUUGUUGAUAUGGUGGCCUAUGCACUUCCAAUUGUAGAUGAUGAUGUUCCUUCCACUUACAGAGAAGCAGUAAGUAAUCCAGAAAGUAUACAGUGGAAGAAAGCAAUGAACGAAGAAAUGCAGUCUCUUCACAAAAAUGAAACUUGGGAGUUAGUUACACUGCCCAAGGAAAAGAAGGCAAUUGGGUGCAAAUGGGUAUAUGCAAAAAAGGAAGGAUUUCCUCGUAAAAAUGAAAUUCGAUACAAGGCUAGAUUGGUAGCGAAGGGUUACGCUCAGAAGGAAGGAAUAGACUACAAUGAGGUAUUUUCUCCAGUUGUGAAACAUUCGUCUAUUCGAAUUUUGCUAGCCAUGGUUGUGCAAUUUGAUCUUGAACUAGUUCAACUUGAUGUAAAAACUGCAUUUUUACACGGUGAUUUGGAAGAGGAAAUCCACAUGACUCAGCCAGAUGGAUUCAAGGUUGCUGGAAAAGAAAAUUGGGUUUGCAAAUUGACAAAGUCGCUUUAUGGAUUGAAACAAUCUCCAAGGCAGUGGUAUAAGCGAUUUGAUCGAUUUAUGAAAGGGCAAAGGUACACAAGAAAUAAAUUUGAUCAUUGUGUGUAUUUUCGCAAGUUACAAGAAGGAUCUUUCAUUUAUUUGCUAUUGUAUGUCGAUGAUAUGCUAAUAGCAUCGAAGAGCAAAGAUGAGAUAGAGAAGUUGAAAACUCAACUCAACCAAGAGUUUGAGAUGAAAGAUCUAGGUGAAGCUAAAAAGAUUAUUGGCAUGCAGAUAUGCAGAGAUAGAGCUCGUGGCAAAGUAAGCUUGUCUCAGAAGCAAUAUUUGAAGAAGGUACUACAGCAGUUUGGCAUGACUGAGCAGAAAAAACCUGUGAGUACCCUGUUGGCUUCUCAUUUCAAGCUUUCUGCACAAUUAUCUCCUUCAACAGAUGCGGAACGAGAAUACAUGUUACAAGUUCCGUAUUCAAAUGCAGUGGGUAGCUUGAUGUAUGCAAUGGUGUGUACAAGGCCUGACAUUUCACAUGCAGUUGGUAUAGUAAGCAGAUAUAUGCAUAAUCCUGGUAAAGGACAUUGGCAAGCUGUGAAAUGGAUUCUACGGUACAUUCAGAAGACCAUGCAUGUUGGUUUACUGUUUGAAAGAGACGAUACACUUGGUCAAGGUGUGAUCGGGUACGUUGAUUCUGAUUAUGCUGGUGAUUUGGACAAACGACGGUCAACCACCGGAUAUGUAUUUAUUUUUGCUGGAGGACCAAUUAGUUGGAAGUUUACACUACAGUCUACAGUUGCAUUGUCGAUCACAGAGGCCGAGUACAUGGCAAUUACAGAGGCUGUUAAAGAGGCUAUUUGGUUACAAGGUUUGCUUGAAAACUUGGGAUUGACACAGGAGCACAUUAAUGUGUAUUGCGAUAGUCAGAGUGCUAUUCACUUAACGAAAAACCAAGUUUAUCAUGCGCGUACGAAGCACAUCGAUGUACGAUUUCACUUUGUGCGGGAAAUUGUUGAUGAUGGGAAGAUUCUUCUUCAGAAAAUCAAGACUGCAGAGAAUCCCGCAGAUAUGUUGACUAAGGUGGUGACGACGAUCAAGUUUGAGCAUUGUCUAAACUUGAUCAACAUCCUACAAGUUUAAAAGCAGCUAGAGAAGGCAGAAACUGGAAGGUAGUUUGUUGAUAGUCGGCUCAGAUUUACUCAAUUUUUGCCGAGGUGGAGAAUUGUUGAAAAGUCAAAGAAUUGCUUGCCAAAUUGAAAAGGCAAAGUUGGUGGGUUUGCCAAAUUCAAAAAAACAAAGUUGGUCGGCUAAGCAAUUUCAAAAGACAAAGUUAGGUGUUGAAAAGCUUGUGCAUGCAAUACAAGAUCCAGCUCAACGGUUUGACAAAUUGAACCCAACUUGGAGCAGAAUGCACUCUAUAAAUAGAGAAGCAUUUUGCAAUUGUAAGUAUCCCAAUUUGAGAGAAGUAGAGAGCAAUUGCAAGUGAGUUCUUUGAGAGAAUUUGAGAGAGCUUCCACUUGAGUGUUCUAGUGAGGUUCCAUUUGGGUGUAUUGGGGUUGUGGGUUUUGUGAGUUUUUCCCACUUUUGUAAAGUCCCAUUGUUAAUAAAAUUAUCUUCCAGUCUUUGCCCGUGGACGUAGGCAUUACGCCGAACCACGUAAAUCAUUGUGUUUUAUUUGCAUUUGUUUACCACCACAUUUAUAUUUCUCCAGAAGUUGUAGUAUUAGUAAUUGCUCAACCCACGUUUCCGCAACACCAUGGCGUUAUGAUUGGGAACACUCAAGCCAACUAUGACGCUGUCAACAAACAAAAUGUUAGUGUCAGACACAUUUUUAAUUAUGGCUAUCCUCAGCUCAAGGUAAUUAUUUAAUUUGCUCUUUCAACUAAAUUAUUAAAUUUUUUUACGCAAUUAAUUAAUAUUCAAAUGUGAAUUAAUUACAGGAAGAAAUCCA